rnacentral:rRNA from 1 species
AAGUGGGUAGUCCGCACGAGCGCACCUCACUUUUAGUUGCCAUCAUUAAGUUGGGCACUCUGAAAGAACUGCCAGUGAUAAGCUGGAGGAAGGUGGGGAUGACGUCAAGUCCUCAUGGCCCUUACGUGUUGGGCUACACACGUGCUACAAUGGUAUCUACAACAGGAAGCAAGACUGCGAGGUCAAGCAAAUCCUUAAAAGAUACCUCAGUUCGGAUUGCACUCUGCAACUCGAGUGCAUGAAGCUGGAAUUACUAGUAAUCGUGGAUCAGCGUGCCACGGUGAAUGCGUUCCCGGGUCUUGUACACACCGCCCGUCACACCAUGGGAGUUGGUUCUACCUUAAGGCAAGGUUUUAAACCCUUGACCACGGUAUAGUCAGCGACUGGGGUGAAGUCGUAACAAGGUAGCCGUAGGGGAACCUGCGGCUGGAUUACCUCCUUUCU